rnacentral:misc_RNA from 1 species
AGAAAUCUUGGGCCAAUCUUCCCCAUUCUCACGUUGACACCUUUGUUUCAGCAUAGAACAACCAGAGAUGAUUAGAGAAGUAAGGGAAGAAGGCAGCCCCUCUACUGGCAAGGACUGUAACAUAGGGCACUUCCAAAUCUUCAAUUCUCCAAGACAGGAGAGGUUUUGAAGUCCCCUAUAGUCUAGAGACUUCAGAUUUUGAAAAUCCUUGAUUUUAAGAGAGGUAAGAGUGCAAGGCAGCAGCAUCUCAUCUGGAAAGGAUUCCACAUCUUUAUCCUUGCCAAUAGUCAAGUUUAAAAGAGAAUGGAGUCUCCGCAAACCCCAUUGCAUGCGACCAGCAAUAAGUUUAUUGCAACGUAGGACCGCAAGUGAUUCUAAUUUAGAGGGUAGACCCCCUGCUGGAAACGACACAAGUUCCUGGCAAUUGAAGAUCACCAGCUUCAUAAGGCAAGGGAGGAGGGAGUGCAUACUUCCUGGAAGCUCUUUCAAAUUUGGGCAGUUCUUUAUCGUCAGUUCUCUGAGAGAGAUGAGGCAUUGAAGGCCUUUAGAGUCUAAAUAUUUCAGAUACUUAUAACUUGAGAUUGUGAGAGAGGUAACAGUAGAGGGCAGCAGUAUCUCUUCUGGAAACGACUCCACUUCCUCAAUCGUGCCAAUAAGAAACUCCGACAGAGAGGGAAGCCUUGGUAAAUCCCAUCGCAAGCGGCUGUCAAAGAGUUUGUUACAGUG